rnacentral:rRNA from 1 species
GGACCCGCACAAGCGGUGGAUUAUGUGGAUUAAUUCGAUGCAACGCGAAAAACCUUACCUACCCUUGACAUGCUAGGAAGCUCGCAGAGAUGUGAGUGUGCCCGAAAGGGAACCUAGACACAGGUGCUGCAUGGCUGUCGUCAGCUCGUGUCGUGAGAUGUUGGGUUAAGUCCCGCAACGAGCGCAACCCUUGCCAUUAGUUGCUACAUUCAGUUGGGCACUCUAAUGGGACUGCCGGUGACAAACCGGAGGAAGGUGGGGAUGACGUCAAGUCCUCAUGGCCCUUAUGGGUAGGGCUUCACACGUAAUACAAUGGCCGGUACAGAGGGCUGCCAACCCGCGAGGGGGAGCAAAUCCCAGAAAGCCGGUCGUAGUCCGGAUUGUUCUCUGCAACUCGAGAGCAUGAAGUCGGAAUCGCUAGUAAUCGCGGAUCAGCAUGUCGCGGUGAAUACGUUCCCGGGUCUU